rnacentral:tRNA from 1 species
GGCACGGUGGUGCAGUGGGUAGCACUGUUGUCUCACAGCAAGAAGGUCCUGGGUUGGAAUUCCGGCCUGGGCCU